CGAUGAACCACUUCGGUGGGGAUUAGUGGCGAACGGGUGAGUAACACGUGGGCAAUCUGCCCUGCACUCUGGGACAAGCCCUGGAAACGGGGUCUAAUACCGGAUACGAGUUCCACGGGCAUCCGUGGGACUGGAAAGCUCCGGCGGUGCAGGAUGAGCCCGCGGCCUAUCAGCUUGUUGGUGAGGUAAUGGCUCACCAAGGCGACGACGGGUAGCCGGCCUGAGAGGGCGACCGGCCACACUGGGACUGAGACACGGCCCAGACUCCUACGGGAGGCAGCAGUGGGGAAUAUUGCACAAUGGGCGAAAGCCUGAUGCAGCGACGCCGCGUGAGGGAUGACGGCCUUCGGGUUGUAAACCUCUUUCAGCAGGGAAGAAGCGAAAGUGACGGUACCUGCAGAAGAAGCGCCGGCUAACUACGUGCCAGCAGCCGCGGUAAUACGUAGGGCGCAAGCGUUGUCCGGAAUUAUUGGGCGUAAAGAGCUCGUAGGCGGCUUGUCGCGUCGGUUGUGAAAGCCCGGGGCUUAACCCCGGGUCUGCAGUCGAUACGGGCAGGCUAGAGUUCGGUAGGGGAGAUCGGAAUUCCUGGUGUAGCGGUGAAAUGCGCAGAUAUCAGGAGGAACACCGGUGGCGAAGGCGGAUCUCUGGGCCGAUACUGACGCUGAGGAGCGAAAGCGUGGGGAGCGAACAGGAUUAGAUACCCUGGUAGUCCACGCCGUAAACGGUGGGCACUAGGUGUGGGCAACAUUCCACGUUGUCCGUGCCGCAGCUAACGCAUUAAGUGCCCCGCC
rnacentral:rRNA from 1 species